AUUUGGCAAAAGUGAUGCUGUGGCAGUGUCUUGCCCAGACUUAUGAUAGUGGGGGCUUCCAUUCCUGUCUUUUGGAACACUUGCCCCUGGAAGUCUGAGCCUUCAUGUAAGAAGUUUGGCUACUCUGCUGGAGAGGCCUCCUGGAGAGUACCCAAGAAUCUACCAAAAGGAGGUGGAGGUUGGCUCACGCAUCAGGCAUUUCCUUAGGAAAUCCCACCAUUGUCUGAUUGGGAAGGAAUGGCUUUCCCGACUGGUGCGACUAGGAAGAUCAUCCUCUGAAGGAAAAAACCCAGACGUUCUGUCUCCAAUAGAUUCCCAGUAUUCCCACCGUCCCAGCCUGUGGAGCUCCAUGCUUGUACCUUGUGCACUUUCUGAAUAACAAAGGUGCACUGGUUUUCGGCAGCACAGUGAGGACAGAAAGGUACUGACCAUAGCAUAAGUAAGCGGUCCUCUCUGCCAAGAUCAAGAACUGAAGCAAGUAG
rnacentral:lncRNA from 1 species